rnacentral:rRNA from 1 species
CGAAAAUGAAUCGGGCUCGGCCCGAUCCUCCCACCCUUUGUGUACCUACCUCUGUUGCUUUGGCGGGCCGCGGUCCUCCGCGGCCGCCCCCCUCCCCGGGGGGGUGGCCAGCGCCCGCCAGAGGACCAUCAAACUCCAGUCAGUAAACGAUGCAGUCUGAAAAACAUUUAAUAAACUAAAACUUUCAACAACGGAUCUCUUGGUUCUGGCAUCGAUGAAGAACGCAGCGAAAUGCGAUAAGUAAUGUGAAUUGCAGAAUUCAGUGAAUCAUCGAAUCUUUGAACGCACAUUGCGCCCUUUGGUAUUCCGAAGGGCAUGCCUGUUCGAGCGUCAUUACAACCCUCAAGCUCUGCUUGGUAUUGGGCACCGUCCUUUGCGGGCGCGCCUCAAAGACCUCGGCGGUGGCGUCUUGCCUCAAGCGUAGUAGAACAUACAUCUCGCUUCGGAGCGCAGGGCGUCGCCCGCCGGACGAACCUUCUGAACUUUUCUCAAGGUUGACCUCGGAUCAGGUAGGGAUACCCGCUGAACUUAAGCAUAUCAAUAAGACGGAGGAA